rnacentral:rRNA from 1 species
AGUGAACGCUGGCGGUAGGCCUAACACAUGCAAGUCGAACGGCAGCACAGUAAGAGCUUGCUCUUACGGGUGGCGAGUGGCGGACGGGUGAGGAAUACAUCGGAAUCUACUUUUUCGUGGGGGAUAACGUAGGGAAACUUACGCUAAUACCGCAUACGACCUACGGGUGAAAGCAGGGGAUCUUCGGACCUUGCGCGAUUGAAUGAGCCGAUGUCGGAUUAGCUAGUUGGCGGGGUAAAGGCCCACCAAGGCGACGAUCCGUAGCUGGUCUGAGAGGAUGAUCAGCCACACUGGAACUGAGACACGGUCCAGACUCCUACGGGAGGCAGCAGUGGGGAAUUUUGGACAAUGGGCGCAAGCCUGAUCCAGCCAUACCGCGUGGGUGAAGAAGGCCUUCGGGUUGUAAAGCCCUUUUGCUGGGAAAGAAAAGCAGCAGGUUAAUACCCCGCUGUUCUGACGGUACCCAAAGAAUAAGCACCGGCUAACUUCGUG